rnacentral:miRNA from 1 species
UUUGGGAGGCCAAGGUCGAAGGAUCGCUUGAGCCUGGAAGUUCGAGACCAAUCUGGGCAACAAAGUGAGACCUCGUACCUACAAA